AGUGAACGCUGGCGGUAGGCCUAACACAUGCAAGUCGAACGGCAGCACAGUAAGAGCUUGCUCUUACGGGUGGCGAGUGGCGGACGGGUGAGGAAUACAUCGGAAUCUACUUUUUCGUGGGGGAUAACGUAGGGAAACUUACGCUAAUACCGCAUACGACCUACGGGUGAAAGCAGGGGAUCUUCGGACCUUGCGCGAUUGAAUGAGCCGAUGUCGGAUUAGCUAGUUGGCGGGGUAAAGGCCCACCAAGGCGACGAUCCGUAGCUGGUCUGAGAGGAUGAUCGGCCACACUGGAACUGAGACACGGUCCAGACUCCUACGGGAGGCAGAAGUGGGGAAUAUUGGACAAUGGGCGCAAGCCUGAUCCAGCCAUACCGCGUGGGUGAAGAAGGCCUUCGGGUUGUAAAGCCCUUUUGUUGGGAAAGAAAAGCAGCAGGUUAAUACCCCGCUGUUCUGACGGUACCCAAAGAAUAAGCACCGGCGAACUUCGU
rnacentral:rRNA from 1 species